AUACCAUGAUGGGGGCAUUUUCUCAACAUCUCCUUAAAAUGCUCGCAUGCAUCAUACAAAGACUCCCCUUCCAUCUGAUAGUAAUUAAUAAUCUCUCCCCUCAACUU